rnacentral:rRNA from 1 species
CCUACGGGAGGCAGCAGUGGGGAAUUUUGGACAAUGGGCGAAAGCCUGAUCCAGCCAUGCCGCGUGCAGGAUGAAGGCCUUCGGGUUGUAAACUGCUUUUGUACGGAACGAAAAAGUUCUUUCUAAUAAAGAGAGCUCAUGACGGUACCGUAAGAAUAAGCACCGGCUAACUACGUGCCAGCAGCCGCGGUAAU